rnacentral:tRNA from 1 species
CGGGGCGUAGUAUACCGGUAGUACGCUUGCUUUGGGAGCAAUUAGACCGAGUUCGAUUCUCGGCGCCCCGA